UACGUAGGGUCCAAGCGUUGUCCGGAUUUAUUGGGCGUAAAGAGCUCGUAGGCGGUUCCGUAAGUCGGAUGUGAAAACUCAGGGCUCAACCCGGAGACGCCAUCUGAUACUGCGGUGACUGGAGGCUGGUAGGGGAACACGGAAUUCCUGGUGUAGCGGUGAAAUGCGCAGAUAUCAGGAGGAACACCGGUGGCGAAGGCGGGUCUCUGGGCCGGUACUGACGCUGAGGAGCGAAAGCGUGGGGAGCGAACAGG
rnacentral:rRNA from 1 species